GCCAGAGACUGGUUAUUAAUAGAGCAUGGAGGAAAGCUGCUGGAUGUUUGAAACACCUCCAUCAGAUAUGAAGAAGUAAACUGACUUUAAAGCUGGACUUCUACUGUCCCAGUUAGGUUUCAUUUGCAGUGCAAAUGAGGUGACACAGGCUCUGCACUGUCUCCUUCCUACUUAGGUUUUGCAUCAUGAAACACAGAAGCAUUUAAGCUUCAGAAUGGUGCUUGAAGAACAUACUUCAUAGGGCCACAAGCAUGCUGAUGAAAGCAUCUGAAGGAAAGCAUCUUCAGAAAUAAAACUCACCUGAUCCUUGAGAGUCGUUGCAACAGAGACAUACCAUGUGCAAUAGUGGAGGACAAUGCAAAAGCAGAUAUGCAAAUGUUCACAGUUUCCUUGAAGGCGGUUAAGAUGCAUAUCUGUAAAGCCAAGAAGUGACUGUGAGGCUGAGUCAUUAGUGCCAGCUCCUGAACAGGAAGUGUGCCAAGACAGAAUUCAGCAGAAAUAUGUUGUACCAGAUUCAUAUAAAAGCAAAUCAGGCAUAAAGCUUGUUGCUUUUAAGGGUAAUGACGACUUUUUGUACCUAGAAAAGAUAUGGCUCAGGAGCAUUCUCUAAGCUAUUAAAGUUGGAGUGAAAAGAAAAGAGUUAAAACAGACUUCAUGAUUUUGGACUGAUCCUUGUCUUAAAGCUGCAAAAGAGAAAAACUUAAUUAAUGCACGUGAUUAAUACAGUUAAUAUGGUAUGUAAGUUGGAGGAAAACUACAGUGUGUUAAAACAAGAAGGUAAACAGUGCCUGCUAUUCCUGAAAAACCGUCAUUCACUGAAUCUUUGUGGAGCAGAUUCAGCAGAAAGCAGUACUAAAGCUGUUGCUUGUGCUGGCAUAGUGAAGACUGUUACAAUUUGCUUUGUAGCAUUCCAAAAAGCCAAGACACCCAGCAGCGUCAAGAUGGAAAUUCCCUUCAAGGGCUCUCUGGUACAGGAUGGACAGAUUGUGACAAUAGUGACCAAUCCUUCACAGCUUGUUAUCCAGGCAUC